rnacentral:lncRNA from 1 species
UAUUUUCUUAGAAUAAAUCUGUUUAUUUGCCACUAUGAUAAUUUGACAUGUUUGAUCAUUUGCAUAUCAUCAUCAUCAUCAUCAUCAUCAAAAACAAGAAGGCACUGAGGCUGCUGGGAUGACAUUCCACGAGGCACAGAUGAGCUUCCCUUCCCCCAAUCCGAACCAGUAGUGGGGGAACGCUAAACUGAACCAAGACCAGCAUCUAAGGGGGGUGUCGGGGUCAAGGGUCAAGCGUUAGAAGCCACUCUUCCUCAGGUACUGCAUCAUGUCGGAGUUGGUAUCAGUAGCAGUGGGCCUCAUCUUAACAUCUAAAGUGUGGUCCCCUUCGGUGUGCAGAUUAUCUCUCAGGACAGUACACUUGUUCCCGCUGAGAUGAAGACCACUGGCGAAGAGAGGAGAACGAUCCAAUGACAUCAUCGCCUUGAUCUCCGCAGCCUGGGGGAAGGGGAGGAGGGGGGAAAUCAUUACGUCGUCAUACAACAGGCCGAUUCAACCUGGAGGACUGGCUGCAUCCCUCCUCCAGUCAUAUAUAUUAGAAUGGUCUAUAGACAUUCAGUAAACACAUUACACAUGGGAGAGAAGGGAGUGAGAGGGAGAGGGAGGGAGAGAGGGCGAGAGCGAGGGAGACAGAGGAGAGAGAGAGAAGGGGGAGAGACUUGCCUGCUUCAGAGAAACUGUCAAAGAAACUCUGUGGACAUUAAAGAUGAUUCUCUUCUACCAAAAAGGUCUCCCUCUCUCCUCUUGCGUUAUCUGCAUGCCUACUGUUUGCUCAAUCAUUUGUGUGUGUGUGUGUGUGUGUGUGUGUGUUAGAGCGUUGUGGAGAAAGACUG